rnacentral:ncRNA from 1 species
GUGUGGUCGAAGGUUCGAGGUGCCCCACGGCUCAUGGCCACGGGGAGAAUCUGGGAAGCCGGUGAGAAUCCGGCACAGGGCCCGCUGCGGUGACUCAGGCACAGACCUGGGAAGUCCGAAGACCGGCCUCGAUCCGACCCGCGAC